AGUCACUGACAUUAGAUACCCGGGUAGUCCUAGGCGUAAAUGAUGCGAGUUAAGUNUGGGGGCAUCUACGAGAUGGCCCUGUGCUGUAGGGUAGCCGUUAAACUCGCUGCCUGGGGAGUACGGUCCCAAGGCUGAAACUUAAAGGAAUUGCGGGGAGCACCACAAGACGGUGGAGGCUGCGGUUCAAUUGGACUCAACGCCGGAAAACUCAUCGGGAGCGACAGCAGUAUGAUUGCCAGGUUGAUGACCUUGCUUGACAAGCUG
rnacentral:rRNA from 1 species